GGGCCAUAGCUCAGUGGCAGAGCAUGUGCCUUGCAUGCAAAAGGCCCCAGGUUCAAUCCCAGGGGCAGCA